GUAACCUACGGGGCGCAGCAGUCGGGAAUAUUGCGCAAUGGAGGAAACUCUGACGCAGUGACGCCGCGUAUAGGAAGAAGGUUUUCGGAUUGUAAACUAUUGUCGUUAGGGAAGAUAAAAGACUGUACCUAAGGAGGAAGCCCCGGCUAACUAUGUGCCAGCAGCCGCGGUAAUACAUAGGGGGCAAGCGUUAUCCGGAAUUAUUGGGUUUAAAGGGUGCGCAGGCGGAGGUGCAAGUCAGCGGUCAAAUUGCGGGGCUCAACCCCGUACUGCCGUUGAAACUGCAUCCCUUGAGUGCGCGAGAA
rnacentral:rRNA from 1 species